GCAUUAAAAAAUUUCGCAGAAAGUACACAUUGCUCUUUAAUUAAUGUAUAUUUUUACCUUUAUAUUUCUUACUAUCUUUAACUCUUAAAGUGCCAUAGGUGGUCUUAACCAACCAAAUUUGUAUUUUGGUAUAUUUCUAUCUAUGAUCGUUGCCUACGAGAUUUUCUUCCUGAACUUCACCUGUGAAGUUUGAUAUCAAUCCAUACUUUUGCCAUGGAAGUUAAUAACAAAACUAUGAAUCAAGUCUAAGUUGUGAUACCUGUUUGUAAGCUUGGUGGUACAGUAAGAUGUAUCAUUCUUUAAAUUGA